rnacentral:rRNA from 1 species
CCGGUAAGGUGAUAUGAACCGUUAUAACCGGCGAUACCCGAAUGGGGAAACCCAGUGUGACUCGUCACACUAUCAUUAACUGAAUCCAUAGGUUAAUGAGGCGAACCGGGGGAACUGAAACAUCUAAGUACCCCGAGGAAAAGAAAUCAACCGAGAUUCCCCCAGUAGCGGCGAGCGAACGGGGAGGAGCCCAGAGCCUGAAUCAGCAUGUGUGUUAGUGGAAGCGUCUGGAAAGGCGCGCGAUACAGGGUGACAGCCCCGUACACAAAAGCGCAUGUGCUGUGAGCUCGAUGAGUAGGGCGGGACACGUGGUAUCCUGUCUGAAUAUGGGGGGACCAUCCUCCAAGGCUAAAUACUCCUGACUGACCGAUAGUGAACCAGUACCGUGAGGGAAAGGCGAAAAGAACCCCGGCGAGGGGAGUGAAAAAGAACCUGAAACCGUGUACGUACAAGCAGUGGGAGCACCCUUUGGGUGUGACUGCGUACCUUUUGUAUAAUGGGUCAGCGACUUAUAUUCUGUAGCAAGGUUAACCGAAUAGGGGAGCCGGAGGGAAACCGAGUCUUAAC